rnacentral:rRNA from 1 species
GAUGCAAUUGCAUCACUACCAGAUGGGCCCGCGGCCUAUCAGCUUGUUGGUGGGGUGAUGGCCUACCAAGGCGACGACGGGUAGCCGGCCUGAGAGGGUGACCGGCCACACUGGGACUGAGAUACGGCCCAGACUCCUACGGGAGGCAGCAGUGGGGAAUAUUGCACAAUGGGCGCAAGCCUGAUGCAGCGACGCCGCGUGAGGGAUGACGGCCUUCGGGUUGUAAACCUCUUUCGCCAGGGACGAAGC